GGCGGGGUAGCUCAGCGGUAGAGCAGGAGAAUCAUAAUCUCUUGGUCGGGGGUUCAAAUCCCUCUCCCGCCACCA
rnacentral:tRNA from 1 species